rnacentral:rRNA from 1 species
UACAGGGGGGGCAAGCGUUGUUCGGAAUUACUGGGCGUAAAGGGCUCGUAGGCGGCCAACUAAGUCACACGUGAAAUCCCCAGGCUUAACCUGGGAACUGCGUGUGAUACUGGAUGGCUUGAAUUCGGGAGAGGGAUGCAGAAUUCCAGGUGUAGCGGUGAAAUGCGUAGAUAUCGUAAGGAAGACCAGUGGCGAAGGCGGGUCUCUGGCCUGUAACUGACGCUGAGGCGCGAAAGCGUGGGGAGCAACAGG